UUAAGGAUUAUUACAAAUCAAGGAAAAAAGAAGAUAUAAAAUAAAAACCAUGUGUCCAUGGCUGAUUAGCCAAUUCAGAAUCCCUGUUCUUAGCUUACCACUAACUUCCUACAUCAUUGCAAUGGCAGGGAAAAGAACAUGGGAGGCUUUACUUCCAGUUAAAGUGCUUUCUCUCUUUUCUAUUCCUCUCUAACUAUUGUAAUUUCCUCAUAGAAACUGAACAUUGUAUAUAUCUGUAGUUAGAAGUGCUUUAGGACUACAAGAUGAUUAUGUUAAAUGAUCAAUGGGGAGACUAGUCUACCAAUGAUCAUCGGAGGGAUUGUGAACUUUAAAACUACUCCACCCUACUCAGACAGAACUUUAGGGGAAGAUGAACUUGUAAUCUCCUGAUUGUAACAAUGGAGAUACUACGCCUAACAGAAUCAGGAAUGUCUUGUGAACUCUACAUUUCUCCACCCUACUUAAUCUAAGAAGGUCAGGAAUGUCUGCACCCAUACUUAAGGAUUAAGUAUCUAGGAGAAUGGCCUUUGAUAGACAUGUGCAGAAACAACUGACAGACCCCUUGGCUGUCUUAAGUCAAGUUAAGCUACCAUUGGUGCAGAUAAGACACAGGAAAAUGUCAUAAAACUGUCUAUAUAGGGCGCAUCACUUCCUCUCUUUGUGUUCUUUCCCUGGAGAGGUGGAUCUAGCUGAUGACUUCCUGUGAGCUGCCUGGGCACCAGUUCAAUCCUGGAACUCAGCCUUGAGGAGCUCCCUCAGACAGCUUCUUUGAGACGGUCAUGUGCUUUGCCUCUGGCUGCCAAGAUGUGCCGACCAGAUUCCUUGCAACUUGCUAUGACUCUUCAAUACCAUUAGUGCAUGAGAAAAAGGACAGGACAGGGAGCUCGCAUGGUGCCAAUCCUGGAGUCAGGAGGACAUGGGUUCAAAUCGGACCUCAGACACUUCGUAGUUGUAUUAUGCUGGAUUUCAGGAUGGACACUGAUGAGCUGAAGAAAAUCCAAAGGAGUGAAAGGAGAAUGAUGACAAGCUGUAAGACCAUACCAUGUAAAGAUCAGAUGAAGGAACUGGGGAUAGUUAGCCAGGAGAAGAAAAGACUUGGUAGAACAUGGGAGCUAUCUUUGAGCACUUUAAGGAUUUUCAUAUGGAAGGAAAAAUUUACUUUUUCUUUUUGAUCAGACAUGAAAGAUACUGGAGCAAUAGAUGAAUGGUUCAAAGAGCAAAUUUGGACUUAUCCUAAGGGGAAAUUAUCCUUUGUUGCAGCCAUGUAAAUAAUAAAUUGUUUUCAAAAAAUUACA
ensembl:lncRNA